rnacentral:rRNA from 1 species
UAAGUAAGCUUUGAUCCAGAGAUUUCCGAAUGGGGAAACCCAGCAUGAGUUAUGUCAUGUUAUCGAUAUGUGAAUACAUAGCAUAUCAGAAGGCACACCCGGAGAACUGAAACAUCUUAGUACCCGGAGGAAGAGAAAGAAAAUUCGAUUCCCUUAGUAGCGGCGAGCGAAACGGGAAGAGCCCAAACCAACAAGCUUGCUUGUUGGGGUUGUAGGACACUCUAUACGGAGUUACAAAGGACGACAUUAGACGAAUCAUCUGGAAAGAUGAAUCAAAGAAGGUAAUAAUCCUGUAGUCGAAAAUGUUGUCUCUCUUGAGUGGAUCCUGAGUACGACGGAGCACGUGAAAUUCCGUCGGAAUCUGGGAGGACCAUCUCCUAAGGCUAAAUACUCUCUAGUGACCGAUAGUGAACCAGUACCGUGAGGGAAAGGUGAAAAGCACCCCGGAAGGGGAGUGAAAUAGAACCUGAAACCGUGUGCUUACAAGUAGUCAGAGCCCGUUAAUGGGUGAUGGCGUGCCUUUUGUAGAAUGAACCGGCGAGUUACGAUUUGAUGCAAGGUUAAGCAGUAAAUGUGGAGCCGUAGCGAAAGCGAGUCUGAAUAGGGCGUUUAGUAUUUGGUCGUAGACCCGAAACCAGGUGAUCUACCCUUGGUCAGGUUGAAGUUCAGGUAACACUGAAUGGAGGACCGAACCGACUUACGUUGAAAAGUGAGCGGAUGAACUGAGGGUAGCGGAGAAAUUCCAAUCGAACCUGGAGAUAGCUGGUUCUCUCCGAAAUAGCUUUAGGGCUAGCCUCAAGUGAUGAUUAUUGGAGGUAGAGCACUGUUUGGACGAGGGGCCCCUCUCGGGUUACCGAAUUCAGACAAACUCCGAAUGCCAAUUAAUUUAACUUGGGAGUCAGAACAUGGGUGAUAAGGUCCGUGUUCGAAAGGGAAACAGCCCAGACCACCAGCUAAGGUCCCAAAAUAUAUGUUAAGUGGAAAAGGAUGUGGCGUUGCCCAGACAACUAGGAUGUUGGCUUAGAAGCAGCCAUCAUUUAAAGAGUGCGUAAUAGCUCACUAGUCGAGUGACACUGCGCCGAAAAUGUACCGGGGCUAAACAUAUUACCGAAGCUGUGGAUUGUCCUUUGGACAAUGGUAGGAGAGCGUUCUAAGGGUGUUGAAGCAUGAUCGCAAGGACAUGUGGAGCGCUUAGAAGUGAGAAUGCCGGUGUGAGUAGCGAAAGACGGGUGAGAAUCCCGUCCACCGAUUGACUAAGGUUUCCAGAGGAAGGCUCGUCCGCUCUGGGUUAGUCGGGUCCUAAGCUGAGGCCGACAGGCGUAGGCGAUGGAUAACAGGUUGAUAUUCCUGUACCACCUAUAAUCGUUUUAAUCGAUGGGGGGACGCAGUAGGAUAGGCGAAGCGUGCGAUUGGAUUGCACGUCUAAGCAGUAAGGCUGAGUAUUAGGCAAAUCCGGUACUCGUUAAGGCUGAGCUGUGAUGGGGAGAAGACAUUGUGUCUUCGAGUCGUUGAUUUCACACUGCCGAGAAAAGCCUCUAGAUAGAAAAUAGGUGCCCGUACCGCAAACCGACACAGGUAGUCAAGAUGAGAAUUCUAAGGUGAGCGAGCGAAAUCUCGUUAAGGAACUCGGCAAAAUGACCCCGUAACUUCGGGAGAAGGGGUGCUCUUUAGGGUUAACGCCCAGAAGAGCCGCAGUGAAUAGGCCCAAGCGACUGUUUAUCAAAAACACAGGUCUCUGCUAAACCGUAAGGUGAUGUAUAGGGGCUGACGCCUGCCCGGUGCUGGAAGGUUAAGAGGAGUGGUUAGCUUCUGCGAAGCUACGAAUCGAAGCCCCAGUAAACGGCGGCCGUAACUAUAACGGUCCUAAGGUAGCGAAAUUCCUUGUCGGGUAAGUUCCGACCCGCACGAAAGGCGUAACGAUUUGGGCACUGUCUCAACGAGAGACUCGGUGAAAUCAUAGUACCUGUGAAGAUGCAGGUUACCCGCGACAGGACGGAAAGACCCCGUGGAGCUUUACUGUAGCCUGAUAUUGAAAUUCGGCACAGCUUGUACAGGAUAGGUAGGAGCCUUUGAAACGUGAGCGCUAGCUUACGUGGAGGCGCUGGUGGGAUACUACCCUAGCUGUGUUGGCUUUCUAACCCGCACCACUUAUCGUGGUGGGAGACAGUGUCAGGCGGGCAGUUUGACUGGGGCGGUCGCCUCCUAAAAGG